rnacentral:rRNA from 1 species
UACGUAGGUGGCAAGCGUUGUCCGGAAUUAUUGGGCGUAAAGCGCGCGCAGGCGGUCCUUUAAGUCUGAUGUGAAAGCCCACGGCUCAACCGUGGAGGGUCAUUGGAAACUGGGGGACUUGAGUGCAGGAGAGAAGAGUGGAAUUCCACGUGUAGCGGUGAAAUGCGUAGAGAUGUGGAGGAACACCAGUGGAGAAGGCGGCGAGCGGGGCCGGAACUGACGCUGAGGAGCGAAAGCGUGGGUAGCAAACAGG